rnacentral:rRNA from 1 species
CCCCUAGAUGUUCUGGGCCGCACGCGCGCUACACUGACGGAGGCAGCGAGCGUGUCCUUCGCCGGCAGGUGCGGGCAAUCUUGCGAGUCUCCGUCGUGCUGGGGAUAGAUGGUUGCAAUUGUCGAUCUUGAACGAGGAAUUCCUAGUAAGCGCGAGUCAUCAGCUCGCGCUGAUUACGUCCCUGCCCUUUGUACACACCGCCCGUCGCUACUACAGAGUGCCCGUGUCCAAGAAACGGUCGGACCUGUGCGGCCUCUCCGGGCGACCGGAGGGCCGUUACGGGGAAGACCCUUUAUUUGACGCGGGUCGAUGAAGUAAAAGUCGUAACA